rnacentral:tRNA from 1 species
UGUGGCUCAAAGGAGAAGGGCGCUGGCCCCAUAAGCUGGAGGUGGCUGGUUCAAACCCAGCCA